rnacentral:tRNA from 1 species
AUUUAUAUAGUAUAAAAUAUUACAAUUGAUUUCCAAUCAAAAAAUCUACAAAUAGUAUAAAUA